GUUUAUGCAGGGCGGACGCAUAGGGUUGGAACCGCUAGCCCGUAGGUCAUCAUGUGCUCAGCUUCUUCGGACUGGACAAGACAGCGUUCCAAAUCGGCCACUGUGUGCACCACCCCCCACCCCGGCUCCAUUGGGCGUCGAACCUGCUGCCCGUUCUUCCUUACUUGUCAUUGACUUGGAGGAGCUCUUUGCAUAUUGCAGUGGGCACUUUCUUGUAUCCUGUUUAAGAACUCCUUGCCUAGUCCGAUGUUUGAAGAUAUUUCUUUACGUGGCUUCUUAAACCUUCACAGUUGAGUCUGUCAUCUUUAGGAAUUGAUUCCUUUGUGCACUGGGGACCACAAGUGGGUCCUUGUGACCAAGCAGAGAAAGGAGGGUCCGCUGUAUGGAAGGUCUGGUCCAGAGCAGGGAGCUGGGCUCUGUCUUGGUGACGCCAGGGGCCGGUGGAGGCCCCGAGGAGGGACGUGAGCCUGGAAGGAAU